UCUCCGUAGGUGAACCUGCGGAAGGAUCAUUAAAGAGAAUAUGCCCUUCGGGGUAGAUCUCCCACCCUCUGUUUAUAUUACCUUUGUUGCUUUGGCAGGCCCGUCUUCGGACCACCGGCUUCGGCUGGUCAGUGCUUGCCAGUGGACCCAAAACUCUUAUUAUUAAUGUCGUCUGAGUACUAUAUAAUAGUUAAAACUUUCAACAACGGAUCUCUUGGUUCUG
rnacentral:misc_RNA from 1 species